AUGAACGCUGGCGGCGUGCCUAAUACAUGCAAGUCGCGCGAACGGACGAGAAGCUUGCUUCUCUGAUGUUAGCGGCGGACGGGUGAGUAACACGUGGAUAACCUACCUAUAAGACUGGGAUAACUUCGGGAGACCGGAGCUAAUACCGGAUAAUAUUUUGAACCGCAUGGUUCAAAAGUAAAAGACGGUCUUGCUGUCACUUAUAGAUGGAUCCGCGCUGCAUUAGCUAGUUGGUAAGGUAACGGCUUACCAAGGCAACGAUGCAUAGCCGACCUGAGAGGGUGAUCGGCCACACUGGAACUGAGACACGGUCCAGACUCCUACGGGAGGCAGCAGUAGGGAAUCUUCCGCAAUGGGCGAAAGCCUGACGGAGCAACGCCGCGUGAGUGAUGAAGGUCUUCGGAUCGUAAAACUCUGUUAUUAGGGAAGAACAUAUGUGUAAGUAACUGUGCACAUCUUGACGGUACCUAAUCAGAAAGCCACGGCUAACUACGUG
rnacentral:rRNA from 1 species